rnacentral:rRNA from 1 species
GACGAACGCUGGCGGCGUGCUUAACACAUGCAAGUCGAACGGAAAGGCCCUGCUUUUGUGGGGUGCUCGAGUGGCGAACGGGUGAGUAACACGUGAGUAACCUGCCCUUGACUUUGGGAUAACUUCAGGAAACUGGGGCUAAUACCGGAUAGGAGCUCCUGCUGCAUGGUGGGGGUUGGAAAGUUUCGGCGGUUGGGGAUGGACUCGCGGCUUAUCAGCUUGUUGGUGGGGUAGUGGCUUACCAAGGCUUUGACGGGUAGCCGGCCUGAGAGGGUGACCGGCGACAUGGGGACUGAGAUACGGCCCAGACUCCUACGGGAGGCAGCAGUGGGGAAUAUUGCACAAUGGGCGGAAGCCUGAUGCAGCAACGCCGCGUGCGGGAUGACGGCCUUCGGGGUGUAAACCGCUUUCGCCUGUGACGAAGCGUGAGUGACGGUAAUGGGUAAAGAAGCACCGGCUAACUACGUG